rnacentral:rRNA from 1 species
AGUGAACGCUGGCGGUAGGCCUAACACAUGCGAGUCGAACGGCAGCACAGUAAGAGCUUGCUCUUACGGGUGGCGAGUGGCGGACGGGUGAGGAAUACAUCGGAAUCUACUUUUUCGUGGGGGAUAACGUAGGGAAACUUACGCUAAUACCGCAUACGACCUACGGGUGAAAGCAGGGGAUCUUCGGACCUUGCGCGAUUGAAUGAGCCGAUGUCGGAUUAGCUAGUUGGCGGGGUAAAGGCCCACCAAGGCGACGAUCCGUAGCUGGUCUGAGAGGAUGAUCAGCCACACUGGAACUGAGACACGGUCCAGACUCCUACGGGAGGCAGCAGUGGGGAAUAUUGCACAAUGGGCGCAAGCCUGAUCCAGCCAUACCGCGUGGGUGAAGAAGGCCUUCGGGUUGUAAAGCCCUUUUGUUGGGAAAGAAAAGCAGCAGGUUAAUACCCCGCUGUUCUGACGGUACCCAAAGAAUAAGCACCGGCUAACUUCGUG